rnacentral:lncRNA from 1 species
CACUUACCAGGAGAGCAGCUGCUGCAUUUAGUGCCUGUGAAUUUGUUUGGUAGAUAAUGCAAGAACUUUCAAGGUGAAAGGACAUUAUUGAAAAUGGAAACAAGUGCUUUGUCAAUCUUUUUAUGAGGAGCCUUAAAUCUGACAAGAAGCUACAUCGUUUAUAAGGUUAUUUGAAGCAUAAGAGACAAAGAAACUUACAAAUGCAUCAGCAAUCGGCCCUUUUUCUCCGGACAGCACGCGUUUGAGCAUGUCGGCAUUGUAAUCUGGACCUCCACCUCGCAAGCUUUCCAGAGUACAACGCGGGAUACCAAAGUCCACUACUGAAGAAUAAUAUUGUCAGAUUAAUUUUUCCACAUAGACAAAAAUAAAAAAUAAAUAAAAAAAGAGGCAGCCCGGUGCACGAAGCAUCCCGCGGUCACGCAGGGUCCGGAGAAAGGUCGCAUCCCAAGGGGGUAUGAUGUAGGCAGCCUACCCCAAAGAGACAAUGUUAUAUGACUAGUGAAAAACACAUUAACCAUAUUGCAUCAUUCUUUACUGCAGAGUUCACCAAAUACUUAGGGCGGCAUUCACUUGUUAUCAGUGCGAAGCAAUAAAUACAUCCGGCUCCAAGCUGCCCUUUUUCUGAUUUCAUGAGUUACUUGCAUGGAUCAAAGGAGAACUUCUCAAUAUUGUCUGGUGUGACAUCAAGGACUAAUCCAGGGCCUGCGACUGCGAAGCAAUAAAUACAUCCAGCUCCGGGCUACCCUUUUUCUGAUUUCAUGAGUUACUUACAUGGAUCAAAGGAGAACUUUUCAAUAUUGUCUGGUGUGACAUCAAGGACUAAUCCAGGGCCUGCGAAAUGAAUUGUCAUACUAAACGAUAUAGAAGCAAAGUCAAACUAAAAAGGACAAUGUUACCACAGACAACAUAUUUACUAUUGUCGUGGAAGGGGACCAU